CAACACACCCAUAUCACCCUUUACCCCAAGAACAGUCAGUCACUGAAGCUAAGCAGGGCUGAGCCUAGUCAGUACCUAGAUGGGAGACCACAAUGGAAAACUAGGUUGCGGU
rnacentral:rRNA from 1 species